rfam:Phytophthora infestans T30-4 supercont1.1 genomic scaffold, whole genome shotgun sequence.
AUACCUUCUCGGCCUCAAGGCUAAGAUCAAGUGUAGUAUCUGUUCUAAUCAGUGUGAACACUGGUUUUGCACCGUUUGGCGGACUUUUUCACUCGCA